UAAGGUGCUGGAGGGAUGUUGCGCGAUGCAAGUGGACGGGGAGCCGUGGGUGCAGCGCCCGGCCACCGUGCUGGUGGAGCCGGCCGGGCAGGGCCGCGUGCUGCGCAAGCCCCAAGCCGAGUAGACUGGUAGUUGGUAGAGUAAGGUGCUGGAGGGAUGUUGCGCGAUGCAAGUGGACGGGGAGCCGUGGGUGCAGCGCCCGGCCACCGUGCUGGUGGAGCCGGCCGGGCAGGGCCGCGUGCUGCGCAAGCCCCAAGCCGAGUAGACUGGUAGAGUAAGGUGUAGAAACGGUGAUUUACUGCGACUGGCACUUUUUCUUAAAAGUGUUGCCGACCCCCGGUUGAGACGGCGAGUCACGGUCUGAGACUUUUGAAAACUCACUCAAAAGUAAACUUAAUGUCAAACAGUACCUAACUAAUUAUAAUAUUUUCAAUAUGUACAUUUAACAUAAUAAACGUAGCGAGUGUA